GUGCUCCCUUUGGCAGCACAUAUACUAAAAUUGGAACAAUACAGAGAAGAUUAGCAUGGCCCCCCUGCCUAAAGAUGACAACCAAAUUCGUGCAAGCGUUCCAUAUUUAA